UGCAAACUUACCCACUUAGAUUUCUGCCACCAAGUCAGUUUAGACUCAUAAGAGAACUAUCGUUACAUCGUUUGAAGAUUCUUUUAAUAACCGUUUGGAAUAAGCUGAUACAAAAGGAGAGAGGACGAUAGAGAGAUGAAGAAGAAGGAUUAUUAUAUAAGAAGAGAAAGCCAAUGGAGCAUACACAGGUCAAGAAGGGAGAAGGUUUUUAUGUUGAGUGGAACCAUGAAGGCAAGCAGAUAUAGAAGAUGUCCAUGAUACCAAAUGUAAGAGAGAGUUUGAGAGACAAGCAGCAUUGCAAGCAUUGGAGAUUUGUUGCCC